rnacentral:tRNA from 1 species
GCGGGCGUGGCGGAAUUGGCAGACGCGCUAGCUUCAGGUGCUAGUGGGAGUUUCUCCCGUGAAGGUUCAAGUCCUUUCGCCCGCACCA